UACGUAGGGUGCAAGCGUUAUCCGGAAUUAUUGGGCGUAAAGAGCUCGUAGGCGGUUUGUCGCGUCUGCUGUGAAAACUGGAGGCUCAACCUCCAGCCUGCAGUGGGUACGGGCAAACUAGAGUGCGGUAGGGGAGAUUGGAAUUCCUGGUGUAGCGGUGAAAUGCGCAGAUAUCAGGAGGAACACCGGUGGCGAAGGCGGGUCUCUGGGCCGAAAUUGACGCUGAGGAGCGAAAGCGUGGGGAGCAAACAGG
rnacentral:rRNA from 1 species